rnacentral:rRNA from 1 species
AUACGGAGGGGGUUAGCGUUGUUCGGAAUUACUGGGCGUAAAGCGCACGUAGGCGGAUUGGAAAGUUGGGGGUGAAAUCCCAGGGCUCAACCCUGGAACUGCCUCCAAAACUAACAGUCUAGAGUUCGAGAGAGGUGAGUGGAAUUCCAAGUGUAGAGGUGAAAUUCGUAGAUAUUUGGAGGAACACCAGUGGCGAAGGCGGCGCACUGGCUCGAUACUGACGCUGAGGUGCGAAAGCGUGGGGAGCAAACAGGAUUAGAAACCCCAGUAGUCC